GAAAUGUUGGUCACUUGUACUGUGGAGGAGCCUAUGGCUAAUUGAGCUACUGCCAUGGAAUCCUGAAGGAGACAGGGGAGGCAAAUUAAGGAGGCUGCUGAGGGGAGGACAGCUCAUAAUAAUGGCAAGAACGGCGGAAAUGGAACAGCAUCAUGAUGUAUUUGAUACCAUUCCACCAAUCCCACUCCAGCCAUUAUCACCAGCCUGUGUUUGCAAGCAUCCACACUAGAUGAAAUUGUAUAUAUAUAUAUAUCCCCAAAGCCAACACCUAAUUUCGCCGCCUUUCCUUCCAGUUCUCUGCUGCCAGUGACUGGAACGAAUUGCAAAAAUCGCUGAAGUUGGAGACUUUUAUUUCCUUCACCAACUUUAAACAUCAACUAUCUGAGCAGCUAACUGAUCGCUGCAGCUGUACAUAGUCCAUCUGUAAAUAGCCCACCCAAUCUAUCUACCUCAUCCACAUACUGUUUUUAUUUUAUUUACUUUUCUGCUCUUUUGCACACCAGUAUCUCUACUUGCACAUCAUCAUCUGCUCAUUUAUCACUUGUGUUAAUCUGCUAAAUUGAAACUAUUCGCUCCUGUGGCCUAUUUAUUGCCUACCUCCUCAUGCCUUUUGCACACACUGUAUAUAGACUUUCUUUUUUCUACUGUGUCAUUGACUUGUUUAUUGUGUUAUUGGCUUGUUUAUUGUUUAUUCCAUGUGUAACUCUGUGUUGUUGUCUGUG
ensembl:lncRNA